rnacentral:rRNA from 1 species
UACGUAGGGGGCUAGCGUUGUUCGGAAUUACUGGGCGUAAAGCGCGUGUAGGCGGUUGUCCAAGUUGGAUGUGAAAGCCUUGAGCUUAACUCAAGAAAUGCAUUCAGGACUGGAUGACUAGAGGACCGGAGAGGAUAGUGGAAUUCCCAGUGUAGUGGUGAAAUACGUAGAGAUUGGGAAGAACACCAGUGGCGAAGGCGGCUAUCUGGACGGUUUCUGACGCUCAGGCACGAAAGCGUGGGGAGCAAACAGG